rnacentral:rRNA from 1 species
AGUGAACGCUGGCGGUAGGCCUAACACAUGCAAGCCGAACGGCAGCACAGUAAGAGUUUGCUCUUACGGGUGGCGAGUGGCGGACGGGUGAGGAAUACAUCGGAAUCUACUUUUUCGUGGGGGAUAACGUAGGGAAACUUACGCUAAUACCGCAUACGACCUACGGGUGAAAGCAGGGGAUCUUCGGACCUUGCGCGAUUGAAUGAGCCGAUGUCGGAUUAGCUAGUUGGCGGGGUAAAGGCCCACCAAGGCGACGAUCCGUAGCUGGUCUGAGAGGAUGAUCAGCCACACUGGAACUGAGACACGGUCCAGACUCCUACGGGAGGCAGCAGUGGGGAAUAUUGGACAAUGGGCGCAAGCCUGAUCCAGCCAUACCGCGUGGGUGAAGAAGGCCUUCGGGUUGUAAAGCCCUUUUGUUGGGAAAGAAAAGCAGCAGGUUAAUACCCCGCUGUUCUGACGGUACCCAAAGAAUAAGCACCGGCUAACUUCGUG